GUGGUGGUGGCUUAGUGGUAGAAUUUCUGCCUUCCAUGCAGGAGACUUGGGUUUGAUUCCCGGCCGUGCACC
rnacentral:tRNA from 1 species